UACGUAGGGUGCAAGCGUUGUCCGGAAUUAUUGGGCGUAAAGAGCUCGUAGGCGGUUUGUCGCGUCGGCUGUGAAAACUCGGGGCUUAACCCCGAGCCUGCUUCUGAUACGGGCAGACUUGAGGUAUGCAGGGGAGAACGGAAUUCCUGGUGUAGCGGUGGAAUGCGCAGAUAUCAGGAGGAACACCGGUGGCGAAGGCGGGUCUCUGGGCAGUAACUGACGCUGAGGAGCGAAAGCGUGGGGAGCGAACAGG
rnacentral:rRNA from 1 species